UGAAAUCAACAAUAAAAAUUCUUGCCACUGGCCCACUCCAUGACUCUUGCAGUUGCAAUGUUUUGCAAUCUGCAAUAUUCUUGCUUAUGAUGGGAAAUUUCUCGUAAAAGUAUAAACAGAUGGCAAAUAUUAGUAUGGUCUAUGUUUGCUAUGUUUAAAAAUGUUAUUCCGAGGAAGGAAGUGGACUUUGUGGAUCUUUUAAUGAUGUUUACACUGUGGAGGACAGUAAUGCGAUAAUGCUUACCAAGGAUGCAGGAGUAAGCACUACCAGUAGAUCAUUUCUUUAUCAAUCCAUUUCAAGAAAAAUGCUGAAGAAAGAGAGAAGACAAGUUUUAACAUCCGGCAUAUUGUAUUCAGGGAAAACACCACAUUUAAUGCACUCUUGAUUCGUCCGGACAGUGGUUAUACUGUGGAUCAUCCCGAUAGGUGCUAGGAGCACGAUGGGUAUGGACCUAUAGCACUGUACAAGUCAGACUGAGAAUUGGUGGCAUUGGAUAGCAGCGCUUUAGACAUGCCUGGGGUUGUGAAGACUGGGACCUAGUAGACAAAAUCUUGUCAGAAGGCCUAGAAAUCGAAUGCUUGGAGGUGCUUAACUUUUUUCAUUUUUAUCACACAAAAAAAAGGGAAUAUGGAAAGAUUCGGAACAAUAGCUGCAAUGAAAAUUUAUUGUCGCAUGGAGAUUCAAAAUUCUUUGAUAGAAACAACAUAUAAUACAGGCUGAUAGUUGAAUAAAAACAUAAAACAAUGCAUUGUAAUAAUAUUUUUCUAUCCAAUUCAUUCCUUUGAGUUUUUAGUUUUAAAUUCAUGUGUGCAAAAGGAGCUGGUCAUUUGCCAUUGAAGACCUUUGUAUAAUUUUAAUGUCUGUCACUGUGCAAAGCCCACAGGUGCAUAAAAUAUUGUUAGCUUUGUAGUUGCAAGCACAAAAGCUUGUCUCCAUUAGAAAUGUAAUGCACGUUUGGAGAUUAGCACAGUGAUUGGGCUUCAAAAUUUUACAAUAGUUUAAUUGCCAAAACUCGUUUUUAUGUACACUCUGUAGAAAGCAAAUUAAAGAAAUCAGAUG